GUGCCUUGCAGAUCUCGUAUUAGUGGCUCUAUGACCUGUUGUAAGUUUCACCUGCCUGAGGUUUCGUGUCUUCAUCUGUAAAAACGAACAGUUCAUCCCUGGGCUGCUUCACACAUCAUGAGGCUUUCAAGUCCUGCUGUGCAACAGGAUUUCUCCGAGAGGAAACAGCAGGACGAGCUUUUCCUACCAGCACAUGACUCCCGAACCCCUUUUCCUCUAAGCGUCGCAGGAUCUGAGGUUCUGUGGUUGCCCUUUGGAAAUCACUCAGCAGUGGGCCUGCUAUACAACACUGAAGACUGAGGAAAGGUCUGUUGGGCAUUUGUGUCGCCUUACCUUCUUCCAGCGCCAAGCCAAAUGUCACUUUUCCGUGAAAACGAUUGUUUUAACUGGUUAGUCAUCUCAGGACUGUGUUACUUUAUUUAUUCUUACCAUCAUCUUAUGUUUCCACAGAAAUAUCUAUUGAUGUCUUGAUUGGGAUUGUAAUGCAUGUGUAGGUUCCAUUUAUGGUGAACUAACAUCUUUGCCGGAGAAGGCAAUGGCACCCCACUCCAGUAUUCUUGCCUGGAAAAUCCCAUGGACAGAGGAACCUGAAAAAUACUCAGAAGUGGAAUUGCUAGAUCAAAGACACUUGCUCUUUGGAAGAAAAGCUAUGACAAACCUAGACAGAAUAUUAAAAAGCAGAGACAUUACUUUCGUACAAAGGUGCAUAUAGUCAAAGCUAUGGUUUUUCCAGUAGUCAUAAGUGAAUGUGAGAGUUGGACCGUAAAGAAAGCUGAGCGCUGAAGAACUGAUGCUUUUGAACUGUGGUGUUGGAGAAGACUCUUGAGAGUCCCUUGGACUGCAAGGAAAUCUAACCAGUCCAUCCUAAAGGAAAUCAGUCCUGAAUAUUCUUUGGAAGGACUGAUGCUGAAGCUCAAGCUCAAGCUCCAGUCCUUUGGCCACCUGAUGCAAAGAACUGACUCAUUGGAAAAGACCCUGAUGUUAGGAAAGAUCGAAGGCAGGAGGAGAAGGGGACAACAGAGGAUGAGAUGGUUGGAUGGCAUCACUGACUCGAUGGACAUGAGUUUGAGCAAGCUCUGGGAGUUGGUGAUGGACAGGGAGGCCUGGCGUGCUGCAGUCCAUGAGGUCACAAAGAGUCGGACACUACUGACCAAGUGAACUGAACUGAUGGUAGUUCAGUCCUUAAGAAAACCAACCCUGAAUAUUCAUCAGAAGGACUGUUGCUGAAGCUAAAAUUCCAAUACUUUGGCCACCUGAUGCAGAGAGCCAACUCACUGGGAAAAGGCCCUAAUGCUGGGAAAGAUUAAAGGCAAAAGAAAAAGGGAGUGGCAGAGGAUAAGAUGGUUGGAUGGUAUCACUGACUCUAGAUGAAUCUUCACAAACUCCAGGAGGUAGCAGAAGACAGAAGAACCUGUCAUGCUACAAUCCAUGAGGUCGCAAAGAGUCGGACUUAGCAACAACAAAUGGUGGUUCUGUUUUUAAGUUUUGAGGAACUUAACAUCUGUUUUCCAUAAUGGCUGCAAUUAUUUACAUUUCCUUCAACAGUGUACAAGGGUUCCCUUUUCUGCACAUCCUCACCAACACUUGUUAUUUGUUGUCUUUUUGAUAACCAUUCUAACAAGUGUGAGGUGAUAUCCCAUUGUAGUUUUGAUUUGCAUUUCCAUGAUGAUCAGUGAUGUUGAGUGUAUCUACUGACCAUCUACAUGUCUUUGAGAAAUUGUCUGUUUAGACCCUCUACCCAUUUUUUAAUCAGGUUGCUUGUCUUUACUGUUGUGAAGUUGUAUGAGUUCUUUGUAUAUUUUGGAUAUCGACCUCUGAUCAGAGGUAGUUUGCAAAUAUAUUCUCCUAUUCAGUAGGCAGCCUUUUAGUUUUGUUGAUAGAUUCCUAUGCAAAUGUGUUUGUUUGACAUAAUCCUAUUUGUUUAUUUUUGGUUUUGUUUCCCUUGCCUGAGAAGACAGAUCCAAAAAAUAAUUACUAAGACUCAUAUCAAAGAAUGGGCUGCCUGAAGGAAUCUAUAAUUCUUUUCCCCUUUCUGACACAUUCAUGUCCUCUGUGAAUAAUGCCAUGCAUUUCUUCCUUUCUGAUCUUCGGUGUCUUCUGUAUCCUUGCCUUGUUGCAUUGGCUGUGACUUCCACUAAAACGCUGAAGAGAAAUAAUACCAGGCAUUCUGGUCUUGUUCUGACUUUGGAGGAAGACUUUCAACAUUUCACGUAAAGUAUGUUGUUUGCUGUGAGUUUUUUAAAACUCAGAUCAACUAUGUUUCCUUUUAUUUCAACUUUGCCAAAAGUUUCUGUUUUGAAUGGAUAGUAAAUUUUAUUUUUAAAAAGUCUUUCAGCUGUAUACUAAAAUUUGCUGUUUUUCUCCAAAUCUGUCUUCAGAUCAUUAUCAGUUGUUUGCUUCCUGGCCCAGGAUCCCUGUGCUCAACAUUCCUAAGUAACACCUAUUGCUUUCCCAUGCUGCUGCCCCAUUGUUCUUGUUCAGUAGCU